GAUCUCAGUUUUUAUUUCCUUCUUUAUUAAAAAUCAUUUUUUCUAAAGCACAUUAUUAAAUUAAAUUAUACUAUGAAUCAAAAUAUAUUUUUUUGUCAUGAUCUUGCUGUUCCAAUCCAAGACAUGGGCAUAUGAGGAAUGUAUCAACAAUAAAAAAAAGGAAUUGGGCAUGAUUCGAAUGAGGAUCGUGGGAGAGAUAAGAAUGAAUGAUAUCACGAUGAUGAAACUACGCGCUAUAGAGACUUCUUCUAAUCUAACGUGGGAUCCACAAAUUCUUAAAACUGAUGAUUUGCCAUGCUAAUCAAACGUGGGCAUUUAAUCUCUUUCUCCGCACGACCGGAUUAUUUAGUUGCUCCCCACUAUCAUCACCUCACGGUCCAGUACAUGUUUACAUUACAUCUUCUACCUAUUGUUUUUUCCUCCCUUUUCUUAACUUUAUGAUUUUCUCUAGGAAUAAAUAAGACAAUGAAUUUGUCCGAGUGUUAAAUAAAGUCUAACAAAAUAUCGUAUGUUAUGGACUUGAUAUAAGAUCCGUUUUACGAAGGCCUUACUCAAAGCCAACCAUCUCCAACUUGUAACACCUCAACGGCUAACAACGUCUUCCAACAGAAAAUUGAAUCCAGACGUCGAUGGGCAUCGACCGUCCCCAAUAUAUGACCCCUAUAUCAGUCUCCAAUGGCUACCAACCUUCACAAAACAUUCCACCGAAAUCCACUCACUAUUUGCUCUCUUAUCGAUUAUACACAAAAUGUUGUUCGAGCUCGAACAAUCUUCUUAAUCGAUUCAAAUCAAAAUCCUUGUGAAGAUUUGAAUUCAAAUAUAUUUUUAAUGAUUCGUUCUUAACAUAAGUUCAUUAGCUAAGUUAUAAUUUUGUGAGAAAAAAUUGUUGCCAAA
rnacentral:lncRNA from 1 species